rnacentral:tRNA from 1 species
GCCGCCUUAGCUCAGGGGUAGAGCAACGCACUCGUAAUGCGUAGGUCCCGGGUUCAAAUCCCGGAGGCGGCUCCA